AAAAGGUGGCUAUGCUACCGCUUUUGGAUGGGCCCGCGGCGCAUUAGCUAGUUGGUGGGGUAAAGGCUUACCAAGGCAAUGAUGCGUAGCCGAACUGAGAGGUUGAUCGGCCACAUUGGGACUGAGACACGGCCCAAACUCCUACGGGAGGCAGCAGUAGGGAAUCUUCCACAAUGGGCGAAAGCCUGAUGGAGCAACGCCGCGUGGGUGAAGAAGGUCUUCGGAUCGUAAAACCCUGUUGUUAGAGAAGAAAGUGCGUGAGAGUAACUGUUCACGUUUCGACGGUAUCUAACCAGAAAGCCACGGCUAACUACGUGCCAGCAGCCGCGGUAAUACGUAGGUGGCAAGCGUUAUCCGGAUUUAUUGGGCGUAAAGGGAACGCAGGCGGUCUUUUAAGUCUGAUGUGAAAGCCUUCGGCUUAACCGGAGUAGUGCAUUGGAAACUGGGAGACUUGAGUGCAGAAGAGGAGAGUGGAACUCCAUGUGUAGCGGUGAAAUGCGUAGAUAUAUGGAAGAACACCAGUGGCGAAAGCGGCUCUCUGGUCUGUAACUGACGCUGAGGUUCGAAAGCGUGGGUAGCAAACAGGAUUAGAUACCCUGGUAGUCCACGCCGUAAACGAUGAGUGCUAAGUGUUGGAGGGUUUCCGCCCUUCA
rnacentral:rRNA from 1 species